UACGUAGGUGGCAAGCGUUGUCCGGAUUUACUGGGCGUAAAGAGCGCGCAGGCGGUCGUUCAAGUCGCGUGUGAAAGCCCCCGGCUCAACUGGGGAGGGUCACGCGAUACUGGUCGACUCGAAGGCAGGAGAGGGUAGUGGAAUUCCCGGUGUAGCGGUGAAAUGCGCAGAUAUCAGGAAGAACACCCGUGGCGAAGGCGGCUCUCUGGAACGGUACUGACGCUGAGACGCGAAAGCGUGGGGAGCGAACAGG
rnacentral:rRNA from 1 species